rnacentral:misc_RNA from 1 species
GAUGAAGAACGUAGCGAAAUGCGAUAAGUAAUGUGAAUUGCAGAAUUCAGUGAAUCAUCGAAUCUUUGAACGCACCUUGCACCCUUUGGCAUUCCGAAGGGUAUGCUCGUUUCAGUGUCAUUGUACUCUCACACUUCCGAUCUUUGGAUUGGGAGCGGUGGACUUGGGUGUUGCUGCUUACUGUGGCUCACCUCAAAUCGAUUCGUGCACCUCUUGGUUGGACAUAGUACGGCGUGAUAAGUGUCUUCGCCGGCACCUCAGUAGAGGGUGGCUGAUCGGGAGCUCUGUGCUUCAAACCGUCCUCGGACAACAACUGACAACUUGACCUCAAAUCGAGUAGGACUACCCGCUGAACUUAAGCAUAUCAAUAAGCGGAGGA